rnacentral:rRNA from 1 species
UGGGGAAUAUUGGGCAAUGGGCGCAAGCCUGACCCAGCCACGCCGCGUGAGUGAUGAAGGCCUUCGGGUCGUAAAGCUCUGUGGGGAGGGACGAAACAGUUGCUGGCUAACAUCCAGCGAUCUUGACGGUACCUCCUUAGCAAGCACCGGCUAACUCCGUGCCAGCAGCCGCGGUAAUACGGAGGGUGCAAACGUUGCUCGGAUUCAUUGGGCGUAAAGCGCACGUAGGCGGCCUGACAUGUCGGACGUGAAAGCCCUCGGCUUAACCGAGGAAGUGCAUUCGAAACUAUCAGGCUUGAGUACUGAAGAGGGUCUCGGAAUUCCCGGUGUAGAGGUGAAAUUCGUAGAUAUCGGGAGGAACACCAGUGGCGAAGGCGGAGACCUGGGCAGAUACUGACGCUGAGGUGCGAAAGCGUGGGGAGCAAACAG